AUGGAUGCUUACACAGAAGUAGCCACCAUUGUUAGGAAAUAUGGAUCUAUGUAUUUGCGCCUUGGUGAUCUCCAGAUGGCACUAGAAUAUUAUGCACAAGCUGCUGCUGCGGUUGGUGGCGGGCAGUUGUCAUGGACUGGUAGAGGUAAUGUUGAUCAGCAAAGGCAGAGAAACUUGAGGUUGAAGUAUCUUCUAAUUGAAUUGUUGUUAAGGGAUGGAGGUAUAUAUCUAUUGCUUGGUGCAAAAGGUGCUGGAGAAGAGGAGAGUUAG